CAGACUUUACCCAUCCUCCAAAGCAUCUUAUGCGAUGUGGCUAUCGUGGGACCUUCUGCACCCCUGGGAAAUGCCCUCGUGGGAAUGCUUAUCUGGGGCGGUGCCGUGCUGGGCAUUCUUGCUGUAAAUGGUUGUAGUGUGACCAGUUGCCCAGGAUCUCCAGGGAUCUGGGAAUGAUCUCUUCUUGCAUCGUUGGAUUCAGGGCACCAUUGUACUGAUUGUUCUUUCAAUAAAGAUUGGUCAUUCUUUCAAUAAAAGCAGCAUUCAGGGUGAUUGUAUGGCUGCCA